UACGGAGGGGGGCUAGCGUUGUUCGGAAUUACUGGGCGUAAAGCGCGCGUAGGCGGCUUUGUAAGUUAGAGGUGAAAGCCCGGAGCUCAACUCCGGAACUGCCUUUAAGACUGCAUCGCUAGAAUUGUGGGAGAGGUAAGUGGAAAUUCCGAGUGUAGAGGUGAAAUUCGUAGAUAUUCGGAAGAACACCAGUGGCGAAGGCGACUUACUGGGACACAUAUUGACGCUGAGGUGGCGAAAAGCGUGGGGGAGCAAACAGG
rnacentral:rRNA from 1 species